CUGCUUAUAAUUCUCUUCUUUCUAGACGUUGUAAUCCAAAACAAAAUUUAUAUUCAAGAGCACAAUAAUAUGCACCUCUCCUUAUUUAGAAUCUUUCGUUGCAUUAAAUUCUAUACAAAAAGAUAUAAAG